rnacentral:rRNA from 1 species
CACUCUAGCGGGACUGCCGGCGUCAAGCCGGAGGAAGGUGGGGAUGACGUCAAGUCAUCAUGGCCCUUAUGUCCAGGGCUACACACGUGCUACAAUGGUCUGUACAAUGGGUAGCCAAGCCGCGAGGCGGAGCCAAUCCUGAAAGCAGGCCUCAGUUCAGAUUGCAGUCUGCAACUCGACUGCAUGAAGCCGGAGUUGCUAGUAACCGCAGGUCAGCAAUACUGCGGUGAAUACGUUCCCGGGUCUU